ACUAGGUGGGGUGCGCAGCACACAUGCAGUCGAACGGUAGCACAGAGAGCUUGCUCUCGGGUGACGAGUGGCGGACGGGUGAGUAAUGUCUGGGAAACUGCCUGAUGGAGGGGGAUAACUACUGGAAACGGUAGCUAAUACCGCAUAACGUCGCAAGACCAAAGAGGGGGACCUUCGGGCCUCUUGCCAUCAGAUGUGCCCAGAUGGGAUUAGCUAGUAGGUGGGGUAACGGCUCACCUAGGCGACGAUCCCUAGCUGGUCUGAGAGGAUGACCAGCCACACUGGAACUGAGACACGGUCCAGACUCCUACGGGAGGCAGCAGUGGGGAAUAUUGCACAAUGGGCGCAAGCCUGAUGCAGCCAUGCCGCGUGUAUGAAGAAGGCCUUCGGGUUGUAAAGUACUUUCAGCGGGGAGGAAGGGAGUAAGGUUAAUAACCUUAUUCAUUGACGUUACCCGCAGAAGAAGCACCGGCUAACUCCGUGCCAGCAGCCGCGGUAAUACGGAGGGUGCAAGCGUUAAUCGGAAUUACUGGGCGUAAAGCGCACGCAGGCGGUCUGUCAAGUCGGAUGUGAAAUCCCCGGGCUCAACCUGGGAACUGCAUCCGAAACUGGCAGGCUUGAGUCUCGUAGAGGGAGGUAGAAUUCCAGGUGUAGCGGUGAAAUGCGUAGAGAUCUGGAGGAAUACCGGUGGCGAAAGCGGCCUCCUGGACGAACACAGACGCUCAGGUGCGAAAGCGUGGGGGAGCAAACAGGAUUAGAUACCCUGGUAGUCCACGCCCUAAAACGAUGUCUAUUUGGAGGUUGUGCCCCUUGAGGCGUGGCUUCCCGAACUAACGCGUUAAAUAGACCGCCCGGGGAAGUACCGCCGCCAGGGUUUAAAACCUCAAAAUGAAAUUGACCGGGGGCGCGCACCAAGCCGGUGGGAGCCAUGUGGUUUUAAUUUCUAAUGCCAACGCCAAAGAAACCCUUACCCUGGGUCUUGGACCCUCCCCCACAAACUUUUACCAAAAGAAUGGAAAUGGGG
rnacentral:rRNA from 1 species